ACACAUAUUCCUAUUAUUCGUGCGAAGAUGACACGGAUGCUCAUCUUUCUGCUCUCCAUUGUUGUCACUGGACUUAUCCUGUUUACCGAUGUCAGUGAAGGUUUCAUAGCUUGCUGUUUUUGGAGAUGUGACAUUGAGCUACCCUGCCCUUGUAUAGACAGUGAGUUCCUGUGCCGUGUUGGUAAACUUUUUGGCAGUCAGGAACCAUAACAAAGCAAUUAUGGAAUACCAGAGCUGGUGUGUGUUGUUUGUUUCAUGGUCUUCAUGCAGCUAAGGUGUUCAGUAAAAGUCAGAAUUACAAAA